rnacentral:rRNA from 1 species
GGACUACUGGGGUUUCUAAUCCCGUUUGCUCCCCUGGCUUUCGCGCCUCAGCGUCAGUAGAGGUCCAGCGCGUCGCUUUCGCCACCGGCGUUCCUUCCGAUAUCUACGCAUUUCACCGCUCCACCGGAAGUUCCACACGCCCCUACCUCCCUCGAGACGACCAGUAUCCAAGGCACUUCUGCAGUUGAGCUGCAGGAUUUCACCCCGGACUUUGCCGCCCGCCUACGCGCCCUUUAAGCCCAGUGAUUCCGAACAACGUUCGCACGGUUCGUCUUACCGCGGCUGCUGGCAC